GGAGAAAUUAGGUAAAAACGGGGCUGCUAACUUUGUUUUGGGUGGUUCAACUCCAUUCUUUCUCCU
rnacentral:tRNA from 1 species